GACGAACGCUGGCGGCGUGCUUAACACAUGCAAGUCGAACGGAAAGGCCCUGCUUUUGUGGGGUGCUCGAGUGGCGAACGGGUGAGUAACACGUGAGUAACCUGCCCUUGACUUUGGGAUAACUUCAGGAAACUGGGGCUAAUACCGGAUAGGAGCUCCUGCUGCAUGGUGGGGGUUGGAAAGUUUCGGCGGUUGGGGAUGGACUCGCGGCUUAUCAGCUUGUUGGUGGGGUAGUGGCUUACCAAGGCUUUGACGGGUAGCCGGCAUGAGAGGGUGAACGGCGACAUGGGGACUGAGAGAGGGAGCAGAGGGCAACGGGAGACAGUAGGGGGGAAUCUUGCACAGUGGGCGGACGUCUGAUGAAGAAACGUCGCGAGUGGGAUGAAGGCUUUCGGGGUGUAAACCGCUUUAGCCUGAGACGAAGCGGGAGUGACGGUAAUGGGUAAAGAAGCACCGGCUAACUACGUG
rnacentral:rRNA from 1 species